GUGGAUUAGAUACCCUGGUAGUCCACGCCGUAAACGAUGUCGACUAGCCGUUGGGGAACUUGAUUUCCCAGUGGCGUAGCUAACGCGCUAAGUCGACCGCCUGGGGAGUACGGCCGCAAGGUUAAAACUCAAAUGAAUUGACGGGGACCCGCACAAGCGGUGGAGUAUGUGGUUUAAUUCGACGCAACGCGAAGAACCUUACCUGCUCUUGACAUCCUGCGAACUUUCCAGAGAUGGAUUGGUGCCUUCGGGAGCGCAGAGACAGGUGCUGCACGGCCGUCGUCAGCU
rnacentral:rRNA from 1 species